UGAGGAAUAUUGGUCAAUGGGCGCAAGCCUGAACCAGCCAUGCCGCGUGCAGGAAGACGGUCCUAUGGAUUGUAAACUGCUUUUAUCAGGGAAUAAACCUCUUUACGUGUAGAGAGCUGAAGGUACCUGAUGAAUAAGCACCGGCUAACUCCGUGCCAGCAGCCGCGGUAAUACGGAGGGUGCAAGCGUUAUCCGGAAUCAUUGGGUUUAAAGGGUCCGCAGGCGGGAAGAUAAGUCAGUGGUGAAAUCUCACAGCUCAACUGUGAAACUGCCAUUGAUACUGUCUUUCUUGAAUUCGAUCGAAGUGGGCGGAAUGUGACAUGUAGCGGUGAAAUGCUUAGAUAUGUCACAGAACACCGAUAGCGAAGGCAGCUCACUAGGUCUGGAUUGACGCUCAGGGACGAAAGCGUGGGGAGCAAACAGG
rnacentral:rRNA from 1 species